AACGAACGCUGGCGGCAUGCCUAACACAUGCAAGUCGAACGAGACCUUCGGGUCUAGUGGCGCACGGGUGCGUAACGCGUGGGAAUCUACCCUUGGGUUCGGAAUAACAGUUAGAAAUGACUGCUAAUACCGGAUGAUGACGUAAGUCCAAAGAUUUAUCGCCCAAGGAUGAGCCCGCGUAAGAUUAGCUUGUUGGUGGGGUAAUGGCCUACCAAGGCGACGAUUUUUAGCUGGUCUGAGAGGAUGAUCAGCCACACUGGGACUGAGACACGGCCCAGACUCCUACGGGAGGCAGCAGUGGGGAAUAUUGGACAAUGGGCGAAAGCCUGAUCCAGCAAUGCCGCGUGAGUGAUGAAGGCCUUAGGGUUGUAAAGCUCUUUUACCAGGGAUGAUAAUGACAGUACCUGGAGAAUAAGCUCCGGCUAACUCCGUGCCAGCAGCCGCUGUAA
rnacentral:rRNA from 1 species